UGAGGAAUAUUGGUCAAUGGGCGAGAGCCUGAACCAGCCAAGUCGCGUGAAGGAAGACAGUCCUAAGGAUUGUAAACUUCUUUUAUACGGGAAUAACGGGCGAUACGAGUAUUGCAUUGAAUGUACCGUAAGAAUAAGCAUCGGCUAACUCCGUGCCAGCAGCCGCGGUAAUACGGAGGAUGCGAGCGUUAUCCGGAUUUAUUGGGUUUAAAGGGUGCGUAGGUUGUUCGGUAAGUCAGCGGUGAAACCUGAGCGCUCGACGUUCAGCCUGCCGUUGAAACUGCCGGGCUUGAGUUCAGUGGCGGCAGGCGGAAUUCGUGGUGUAGCGGUGAAAUGCAUAGAUAUCACGAGGAACUCCGAUUGCGAAGGCAGCUUGCCAUACUGCGACUGACACUGAAGCACGAAGGCGUGGGUAUCAAACAGGAUUAGAUACCCUGGUAGUCCACGCAGUAAACGAUGAUUACUAGGAGUUUGCGAUAUACCGUCAAGCUUCCACAGCGAAAGCGUUAAGUAAUCCACCUGGGGAGUACGCCGGCAACGGUG
rnacentral:rRNA from 1 species